CAUUAUGGUGUGUGUGUCCCCUACCGCUAAACACACAAACAUCUGAUCUAUUUAACUUUCUUCAUUUAAAUUUCUC
rnacentral:ribozyme from 1 species